rnacentral:misc_RNA from 1 species
UCGAGUUUUGAAACGGGUUGUAGCUGGCCUUCCGAGGCAUGUGCACACCCUGCUCAUCCACUCUACACCUGUGCACUUACUGUAGGUGACUUUUGGGAGGGCUGGCUUUGGCUGGCUUUUCUUUGGGUUGCCUACGUUUCACUACAAACGCUUCAGUAUCAGAAUGUGUAUCGCGAUGUAACGCAUCUAUAUA